GCAGCAGCCGCGGUAAUACAGAGGGUGCGAGCGUUAAUCGGAUUUACUGGGCGUAAAGCGUGCGUAGGCGGCUUCUUAAGUCGGAUGUGAAAUCCCUGAGCUUAACUUAGGAAUUGCAUUCGAUACUGGGAAGCUAGAGUAUGGGAGAGGAUGGUAGAAUUCCAGGUGUAGCGGUGAAAUGCGUAGAGAUCUGGAGGAAUACCGAUGGCGAAGGCAGCCAUCUGGCCUAAUACUGACGCUGAGGUACGAAAGCAUGGGGAGCAAACAGGAUUAGAUACCCCUGUAGUCCCUGUCUCUUAUAC
rnacentral:rRNA from 1 species